GGAUGAAUGGCCGAGUGGUCGAAGGCAUCAGUUUUGAAAACUGACAUACGGAAGUAUCGGGGGUUCGAAUCCCUCUUCAUCCG
rnacentral:tRNA from 1 species